CUUACACAGCUACACAUAGCUAUGGCACAGCUAAACAGAAUAACAGCAAGAACAACAACAGCAACAACAACAAAACCCAUGCAUGUUUCCCUUCUGGAGAAUCUUCAACUGGUUUGCCAUCAGAAUCUGCCUGUCCUGAAGACUACAAAGUCUAGGAAGAAUUUAUCACAGCCACCACAGGGAAGAUCCUUAGGGCUUAUGAUGACCUGGCCAGCCCCAGCACUGUGGAGGUCCAGAGGUGGUAGACAAGCUGGAUCCUACCCAAACCAUGCAGGUACAUGCCCAUCAGUGUCAUCAAAGGAGGCAACUACUA